rnacentral:rRNA from 1 species
UACGAAGGGGACUAGCGUUGUUCGGAAUCACUGGGCGUAAAGCGCACGUAGGCGGAUUUGUAAGUCAGGGGUGAAAUCCCGGGGGCUCAACCUCGGAACUGCCUUUGAUACUGCAAGUCUUGAGUCCGAUAGAGGUGGGUGGAAUUCCUAGUGUAGAGGUGAAAUUCGUAGAUAUUAGGAAGAACACCGGUGGCGAAGGCGGCCCACUGGAUCGGUACUGACGCUGAGGUGCGAAAGCGUGGGGAGCAAACAGG